rnacentral:rRNA from 1 species
AACGAAGGAUGCAAGCGUUAUCCGGAUUCAUUGGGUUUAAAGGGUGCGUAGGCGGACUUGUAAGUCAGUGGUGAAAUCCCUCGGCUUAACCGGGGAACUGCCUGCCAGACUGGAUUGCUUGAGGCCGGGAGAGGUGAGUGGAAUUCCCAGUGUAGCGGUGAAAUGCGUAGAUAUUGGGAGGAACACCAGUGGCGAAGGCGGCUCACUGGACCGGUACUGACGCUGAGGCGCGAAAGCGUGGGGAGCAAACAGG